rnacentral:sRNA from 1 species
UAAAAUUGAACGCAGACUAAAGCGGCCACGUCCUGUGGCAGCGUCUGUAUGACCUGCGGG